CACGGUCAGUCGCCGUCACUCCCGUCCCUCGAUACGGCGGCUGGCCCGAUGGCAUGACACGCCCAUCGGCGGCGCGUCGGUCCCCCAGCAAGGGCCGACGCGCC
rnacentral:sRNA from 1 species